AUGAACGCUAGCGGCAGGCUUAAUACAUGCAAGUCGAGGGGGAUCACGAGGUAGCAAUACUUUGGUGGCGACCGGCGUACGGGUGCGUAACACGUAUGCAACCUUCCUGUAAGUGUGGGAUAGCCUCCUGAAAAGGGAGAUUUAAUACCUCAUGAUAUGUAUUUGCUGCAUGGCAUUUACAUUAAACAUUUAUGGCUUACAGAUGGGCAUGCGUUCCAUUAGGCAGUUGGUGUGGUAACGGCUCACCAAACCUACGAUGGAUAGGGGUUCUGAGAGGAAGGUCCCCCACACUGGAACUGAGACACGGUCCAGACUCCUACGGGAGGCAGCAGUGAGGAAUAUUGGUCAAUGGGCGCGAGCCUGAACCAGCCACGUCGCGUGAAGGAUGACGGCCUUAUGGGUUGUAAACUUCUUUUACAGGGGAAUAAAGUGAGUCACGUGUGAUUUUUUGCAUGUACCCUGUGAAUAAGCAUCGGCUAACUCCGUG
rnacentral:rRNA from 1 species